rnacentral:tRNA from 1 species
UCCCUGGAGGACUAGUGGUUUGGCCACAGCGCUCUCACCAAUGUGGCCCGGGUUCGAUUCCCAGCCAGGGAA